rnacentral:rRNA from 1 species
AUGCGGUGGCAAUGCCUAAGUGGGAUAAGUCUGAGAAAGAGAUGGAGGAUGCAGGUGCCACUCCGGUUACUAAGAGCUGGCCCCCCCAGGGUCAGGACUUGGUUCUAUGCGCAUGGGGGGGAGUUGGACCCGAAGACAGGCAAUGUUUCGACGAGGGCAAGUCUGAAGGGAGCCGACGAUGCGAUACUUGUUGCAAUAGAAGAGGCACGAUCGGGGGUGUUCCAGCCCAACAGAGAGAACGACGAGCUUACGCGUGCCCUGGGAAAUCCUGAACACCCGGGAAGAACACGAGGCAAGGGCGCUAUUCCGUGGUAUGAGGGGUUUUCAGACUGGAACACCGACUACAGAACCCGUGCGAGAAAGAAGAUUGCGGAGGAGAAGAAGAGGAAGAUGGAGGAGGAGCAGAGGAAGUGGGACUAUGAACGCCUUCAAAGCCUAGAAGCAAGUCAAGCGGAAUUGGUAGUCAAAUUCCAGCGGCAGCAGGAGCAGAUCGACUCACUUACCCAGUAA